CACGAAACAAUCGGACAUUCCUGAUUUUUGCCUCUCGCUGACAGCAUCCAAAAUAUGCAAUAUUAAAGAUGUCAUGGGUGCAAAGGUUUUGUUCGCAAACUUCAUAGCAGGGCAGAUCACUCCUUUUCUGGUUGCAAUGCAGAUUGUUCCACCAGACUCUGCAAGCCCAUGAAAUUGUUUACAG